GAGAGGAGAAGGAGGAGGAGGAGGAGGAGGAAGAAGAGGAGCAAACCGCGAUGGAAAUUCAUGGAAUGUCGUUCUCCUCUAUUUCUUUGCCUCCCCCCCCCCUCCCCUUGGUACAAACGAUACCAUACUUUCGAACAGGGGGAAUUUCAACCGGGCAGAAUCGAUGAGGCUCGUGAGAAGCGUACGCCGUUUUUGUUCUCACAAUUCGUUCGGCUCGCUCUUGUUUCGAGACGAGUCGAGACGAGACGACACUGCGCGAAUUCACCGCGGCUGGCUCCGAGUGCCAUAAUAAAAAUCGGCUUGGAUGUCGUGAUUUAAAAUGCUGAUAACCAACUUUUCAACCCUUGUUCGAGUCUCUUCGCGAUUUCGAUCUUUUGAGAAAUAUUUUGUUGAGAAUGAUUAUUAUUAGGAGCGAUUAACUCUUGUUGAAUUUUGAAUAAAUGGUGGAUAAGGUAAAUGACGACAAUUUGAAGUUGGAUCUUAAAUGGAUAUCGAUGUAUAUAUUUUGAGUGGUGCGAUAUUUUCGUGAAAUUCUUAGCUCGAAUGGAAAGUUGAAGCUGGACCAUAUAAAAGCAGUAUGGCAGUGAGCGCGUGAACCACUUAAUGUCAUGACUGUGACUUAUACGGGCACGGUCGACGCGCUCCUCAUUUGGCAGGUUGCUCCCUUCAACCAGUGCUCUUUGCAGAUCCAAAUCGCGGCCCCUUGUGCAUCGAGAAUUAUCUCUUCUCUUUUCAUCGAAUCUACGAAAGCGAUAAUAAAGAUUUCGCGAAGAACCCACUCGAGGAGGACACGUUCGAAAAAAUACUUUCCAACUUUCCAUCCACGCCAACUUCCUCUCUUUUACUAACUAACUUAUUCACGAAUCUCUCGAAUCAUUUAUCUCCCCGCAUCAGAUAUCCAUAUUAUCUCCCGUCAAAAAAAUCCCGUAUCCGAGAUUGACACAAGCGCGUGGCCCUUUUAAAGAGGCUGACAAAAGGAUUUUUAACGAGAACCGCGUUAUUUCAUUCGACUUUUCCAUCUCGCUUCUCUUUCCUCAACGAAGAAGAAGAAAGUGUAUACCCGAGCUAGAACGAAACGUCGAGAGACACACAGAGAGAGAGAGAGAGAGGAAUGGAGCGAGCCUUUCGCGCGUUUCUUCGGCCAGAAAUAUAUUACCAGUUCAAGGGAGCGAUCCGUUGGUCCGAUGGACCAAUUACAUGGGAGAUCGGGAGAACGAAGGCAAGGUUUAAUUGAUACUUGACGCGCGGGAGGGCCACGAGCAAGGGUUCCCCUUUUAACGAGGCUGAACGGCUAUCUGGGUCAUUGUACCGUGAUCGCAUUCUAAAUUCGGAGUGCAACGAACGUGCGCGACUUUUGUUCCAAGCGUUCGGGAUCGGUCGGGUUGGCGAUUUAUCCCCAAUCGUGCGGGAAACAACGAGGUAUAGUAGGAUGCCUGCGUUAGAAAUUUUGGAGAAACUAUCGUGGAUAUUUAUAUACGCGGGAACUUUGAUGUUUCGAGAGUUUAGCUCGGUUUAGUUAUCGGGUGGAAGUUGUUGGUCUUUCGAUACUUGUUUGGAUCGCAAGCGUGGUUGGUUAAAUCUCGUGGUGUUGAUUUAUAGCGUGAAAAGGAAAGGAGAGGCGGUUUAAAAUAUCUCUUUCACGCGAACAUCCUCGAAUCCAACGUGAAAUAAUACAACGAAGAUAUCCGAAUAGAAUCUUCGAUUAUUAGAACUUUCUCAUUCGAUAUGCUCCGUACGAAAAUGAAAAAUUAAAUCAUCCUUUAUCACCAAUAUUCAUUCAAUAUUUCGCGGCGAUUCGUUUCGCGCCGCACGUCCGCACGCUGAAAUCGAAUAAUUCCCAUUCAACGGGCGCGGCCGAUAAUGCGAAUCGAUUCCGGAAACAUCGAUCGUCGGGUCUAAAUAUAUAAUUGGGGAGCGUGGGGGUGGAUUUUAUCCACGCUGGACGCUAGGCGCACGUAACGGCAGGCAGUUAAAAAAGAAGGAUAAACUAACAUUCGCGCAGAAUAAAUAGUAGAAGCCCAUAAAACUCGCACGAAACACUGUACGUUUUACGAGUCCAUUCCCGAGACCAUUGUCACGCGUAAAACAAGCCAGGGUUUGUUCAACCUGCCUAGACGGAAGUGACGUCGUGGCAACGUGGGGCGACACGGCUCGUUGGACCCCGCGCGCGGAAAUAACUCACGUACGGGAAUCGUCACGUCGCGUGGUAACACGAUGGAAACACAGAAAUGCGCAGAUACGCAAACGUGUAAGUGGCGGAUCGCCGAUAAUCGUACGCGAAACAAGGAGGAUCCGCCUCCUCCGGUUUGUCCUUGGGGGGAUAUAAGGUUCCCAGCAAGGUUCAGGACCAGUCAUGGGACAACAAGGGUGUACGCGAGACACGUUUCCACACCGUGCUGGGAGAAUUACUGCUCGUCAACGUGCCUCUCGAUAAUUUCGUUCGAGGAAUAUAUAGGGGGCAUUGAAGAGCGAGGGGUUUAAAAUUUUAAGGGCUUAUUGUAGUCUUUGAGAUGGCGAGUCUUAAAUUUUUCUCGAGCCGAGAAUUCCUUUCACGCGGUAUUUAUUGUAAUUGGUUGGAAUUUAAGCUUUGUUUUUUGUCCCUCCUCCCCCCUCUCUCCCUCUCUCCCUCCUCCCCUCUCUUCUUUUUUUAUUGCGUUCGUGACAAAAAAAAAAAAGAAAAGAAAAAAGAAAAAAGAAAGAUCGUAAUAAGAGAUCGUAAUGUUGUUAAGUAUUAUUUUGUUUAAUAAUUAAUUAUCUGGUUAUUAUACAGGGUUCUUGAGCUACCUAGCUUUUCUUCUUCUAAAUACAUGGUACUUGUAGCGAUGUAAAAGUUACUAGAAGAUAUCUAUACUCGUCGUUAAUCCGUUUCUAGAAAUCUUUUUCUAUAAAAAUUAACGAAGAAAGAAUAAUGAUAAUAAUACUGUUCUCAACGUCGAACCGAGUCGAAACACAAAUAAAUUUAAGCAGAAGUUGAUUUUUAUCGGGAAACCAAUCAUAGAAAAUGAACCAUGCGGUAAAAAAAUUUUCGACGUGGAAUGAAGAAGAACUUUCACCGUAUUUGCGUCACAUUUUUACGAUGAAAUUAAGUCAAAUGGUCCGAAAGAUAACUCGAUGACUCGAUUGGAAUUGAAACUAGUACGAAGAAGAAAUUUUUUUUUCACCCCCCCCAACUCCGACCUAUAUAUAUUUCCUCUUUAAAUUAAUUCGAGGACUUGUAAGCGUCAAUGUCAUCGUUUCCAACCAAGAUUUAACGAGGAGUAAUCGUUCGAGUUUUUCAUCUAGCAUACAACGACUGCGAAAUUAUUACAGCGUCCAAUUGGAUGAUCGACUGGCAACUAGAUCGUCUGGAAACGCAUCGACGAUUCGAAAAAUCUAUUCCGGUCGGUUUAUUCUUAACAGAUAUCCCAUUUCUGCAUUGCCGCGUAUUUUUAACCGUGGCCCACAUCCGAGCUCGUUGAUUAUUUCCUCGCGUAAUCGAAUAGCCUCGUCUCUUCUCGUUUCGUGACGUUCAUCGACGAGAAUAAAAAAGAGGAGG